CAGAGAAUGCGGAUGGCGCCGACCAAGUGGUCAGGAGCCGAGGGGGGAGUGGACGAGAGGAGAGGCGAAGAGUAGCAGAACUGCGAGUUCCCGGGCCAAAGGAGCAGGGGCCUAGUCAAGCUGCGUAGCUCGCGGAGCAUUUGUCACCUUUCGGCCCGGGCCAGUGGCGUAGAGGCACCCAGUGGGGGAAAAGGAAUGUCCUCGUUCCGGAGCCCAGGAGAAGGCUCCCGUGAUGUCAGAGAAGGCCCUGAGGCAGGCAUAAAGACUGAAAGACGCAUCGUAGGUUUGAAGUGGGAUGCUGCCCGUUAGAGAAAAUUACAAUUCAGGGGCGCCUUAUUUCACAGAGGAGAAAGUAGAGUAUCAUAAAGUCUAAAUGGUUGUGUUUGAUAAUGAAAGGUUUUUGCCGCUUAAUUUUCUAAGU